UGACACCUGUGGGAUUCGAACCCACGCCUAUUACUAGACCGCGAAACGGGGAAUGUUGGGAAUUGCUUCCUACAGAACCUGAACACGGCGCCUUAGACCACUCGGCCAAAGUGCC